AGUGAACGCUGGCGGUAGGCCUAACACAUGCAAGUCGAACGGCAGCACAGUAAGAGCUUGCUCUUACGGGUGGCGAGUGGCGGACGGGUGAGGAAUACAUCGGAAUCUACUUUUUCGUGGGGGAUAACGUAGGGAAACUUACGCUAAUACCGCAUACGACCUACGGGUGAAAGCAGGGGAUCUUCGGACCUUGCGCGAUUGAAUGAGCCGAUGUUGGAUUAGCUAGUUGGCGGGGUAAAGGCCCACCAAGGCGACGAUCCGUAGCUGGUCUGAGAGGAUGAUCAGCCACACUGGAACUGAGACACGGUCCAGACUCCUACGGGAGGCAGCAGUGGGGAAUAUUGGACAAUGGGCGCAAGCCUGAUCCAGCCAUACCGCGUGGGUGAAGAAGGCCUUCGGGUUGUAAAGCCCUUUUGUUGGGAAAGAAAAGCAGCAGGUUAAUACCCCGCUGUUCUGACGGUACCCAAAGAAUAAGCAUCGGCUAACUUCGUG
rnacentral:rRNA from 1 species